CAAAAGCCUGGUACAGAGGGAACACAAAACACACAAAACAUUAUGCUUCUUAUUCCCAUCUGGGCAUUAAUAAUAUGCCUCCACAGCAUGAAUUAGGGCGUCUGUCUGUUCUUGGCCUACUGAACAAGCUGCCAUUCCUACUACACAGAGAAGCCUAAUACCAAGAGGCAAUGGGAUUGUCUAUCAAUGUACUGCAUCUAUAGGCUUGUUUUAGCAAAGCUACACAGUCUUCAAGCUACAGUUCAUAGAAAACAUGUAUAUGAAGGGGAGAAAGUCUGCAAAAGGGUAUGGCCUGAGUGGACUUGAAAACGUAGAUGUUAUCCAUAAAAUCAGACCAUCUUACACUCUUGGAAAGAAAGGUUCCAUAAGGGCUUUGCGACUGUCCCCAGAGGAGAAACUUUUUGGAUCCAGGGAGAACUCUUUUGGGUUCCAUGAAGAACCCUCUAUGGAAAAAGUUAUAAAUGGAACCCAAAAGGGUUCUACCUGGAACCAAAAGGAGUUCUUCCAAUGGUUCUCUUAUGGGGACAGCCAAAGAACCCAUUUUGGUUCUAGAUAGCACCUUUUUUUCCAGAGUGUACAAGUUGAAAACCAACCCAUAAAAACAAGUCUGGCCAAUGGUGAUGGUGUACAUUUACAACACAAACCUAACGACAACUAGGUCAAUCUUCAGUCCCUGCAGAAAUCUUAAUUGAGGAAAUGACACUCCCGGCCUGACAUUAAAUGAAGCCUUUAAUAGCAUGCCCCUACCAGCGACCAUGUUAGAGAGCAGAGUUACACAUUAUUAUCAGGUUAAUUAGAUGAUUAAAAGGUGCUUGUGCAAAACAGCAUUUCAAAAUAAAAGUUAUGUGUUGUCUUGACACUGACAGUCUUGUACCCAAAACGAUUUUUCUCCAAAAUAACAGUAGUAAAUCUAACAAUGUGUCACGCCCUCCCUCCGGCGCUCGACAUCGCCGGUCUACUAACCACCGGUCCUGGCAACCCACAUUGCGCACACCUGCUGAUUGUUUUCUCCUUGAUUACCGCCCCUUUAUUUAUCCCUCGGUUGUCUUCAGUCACUAGGUGUUAUUGUUUUCUCCUUCAUUACCGCCCCUUUAUUUAUCCCUCGGUUGUCUUCAGUCACUAGGUGUUAUUGUUUUCUCCUUAAUUACCGCCCCUUUAUUUAUUCCUCGGUUGUCUUCAGUCACUAGGUGUUAUUGUUUUCUCCUUAAUUACCGCCCCUUUAUUUAUCCCUCGGUUGUCUUCAGUCACUAGGUGUUAUUGUUUUCUCCUUAAUUACCGCCCCUUUAUUUAUUCCUCGGUUGUCUUCAGUCACUAGGUGUUAUUGUUUUCUCCUUAAUUACCGCCCCUUUAUUUAUUCCUCGGUUGUCUUCAGUCACUAGGUGUUAUUGUUUUCUCCUUAAUUACCGCCCCUUUAUUUAUUCCUCGGUUGUCUUCAGUCACAAGGUGUUAUUGUUUUCUCCUUAAUUACCGCCCCUUUAUUUAUUCCUCGGUUGUCUUCAGUCACUAGGUGUUAUUGUUUCUCCUUCAUUACCGCCCCUUUAUUUAUCCCUCGGUUGUCUUCAGUCACUAGGUGUUAUUGUUUUCUCCUUAAUUACCGCCCCUUUAUUUAUCCCUCGGUUGUCUUCAGUCACUAGGUGUUAUUGUUUUCUCCUUAAUUACCGCCCCUUUAUUUAUUCCUCGGUUGUCUUCAGUCACUAGGUGUUAUUGUUUUCUCCUUAAUUACCGCCCCUUUAUUUAUUCCUCGGUUGUCUUCAGUCACUAGGUGUUAUUGUUUUCUCCUUAAUUACCGCCCCUUUAUUUAUUCCUCGGUUGUCUUCAGUCACUAGGUGUUAUUGUUUUCUCCUUAAUUACCGCCCCUUUAUUUAUUCCUCGGUUGUCUUCAGUCACUAGCUGUUAUUGUUUUCUCUCACGUUAUGUACCUCAAGAAGACAAUGAACACAGAGAAUAACAUGUCAAAAUUGAAUGGGGAGAAAAUGUGAUCAGAACUACGAUUACUGGUCCUAUUGUGUCAUGUUUGUUAAUUUGCUUCGGUUCUUUAUUAAAAUCACCUUCUUCACCAUUUUGCUGACUCCCGGCAUAUACGUUAAACAAUGCUAAGCCCUUGGUUUACUACAAUGUGGUGAGUGCUGAGUAAUUAUGCCAAAUGUGUCAGAUACUCUCACAGUAAUCAUGCAAAUAACCUUUCUGGUACUGGUUCAGGCAACAGCAGUAAGUAAAAGAUUGAUAGCCAGACUCUAGGUACACUCUUAGAAAUAAAUGUGCUAUCUAGAACCAAAAAGGUUAUUCGGCUGUCCCCAUAGGAGAACCUUUUGAUGAACCCCUUUUGGGUCCAGGUAGAACAAUUUUAGGUUCCUUGUAGAAGCCUUUCCACAGAGGGUUCUACAUGGAACCCAAAAUAGUUCUACCUGGAACCAAAACUGUCCUACCUGGAACCAAAAAGGGUUCUUAGCCACAAAACGCCUUUGGAGCACUUUUUUCUAAGAAUGUAGCCAUUGUUGGGGUUGGAGCUCUUGGCAUAGAAGUUAGAGACUAAAAGAGUAGGCACCCAGAGCAGAAUGACAGCUGAGCUGGCCUCAAACAACCUCCCCCUGCCAAGCUCUCAAACAACCUCCCCCUGGUAAGCUCUCAAACAACCUCCCCCUGCCAAGCUCUCAAACAACCUCCCCCUGGUAAGCUCUCAAACAACCUCCCCCUGGUAAGCUCUCAAAACAAGUAAGACAGCAGAGCAGAGGCACUCUGUCUCAUCCUGUCUCCUCCUGUCUCUGUUUACCUAUCUCUCUCUGCAGUCCAUCCUUGUACAUCUGUCUGUCUGGCUAGGGAGGAAAACGGUCUCUAAUAUGUUUAGUUAAGCAGGCCAUAUGGCUUUCUUUGUCUAAGUGGCCCUCAGGUCAACAUCAAUGGAGUCUGCUUGUUGGAGAAGGAGUGGGUCUAUUUUAAUACAAGUAUAGCUGCAGCGGGUGGCUGGCUGGCUGGGUGGAUCGGUCAGGGUGGCUGGGUGGAUGGGUCAGGGUGGCUGGG